CAGCAGCCGCGGGAAAACGAAGGGUGCAAGCGUUACUCGGAAUUACUGGGCGUAAAGCGUGCGUAGGUGGUGGUUUAAGUCCGUUGUGAAAGCCCUGGGCUCAACCUGGGAAUUGCAGUGGAUACUGGGUCACUAGAGUGUGGUAGAGGAUAGUGGAAUUUCCGGUGUAGCAGUGAAAUGCGUAGAGAUCGGAAGGAACAUCUGUGGCGAAGGCGACUAUCUGGGCCAACACUGACACUGAGGCACGAAAGCGUGGGGAGCAAACAGGAUUAGAUACCCCUGUAGUCCCUGUCUCUUAUAC
rnacentral:rRNA from 1 species